GAUGGCAAGCGAUGCAAAUAUCUUAUCCUACACACUGAAGUGGUUGUGUGGACAUAUACUCUGCUUAUUAUCUGAUGCCAUU